GCACUCGUGGUGAAGUGGAACCACGGUUGAGUCAGAUCAGUUCCGGCUCGAAAACCGCGGGUUCGAAUCCCUUCCGGUGUU